rnacentral:rRNA from 1 species
ACGGAAGGCAGCAGUGAGGAAUAUUGGUCAAUGGGCGCGAGCCUGAACCAGCCAAGUAGCGUGAGGGAUGACUGCCCUACGGGUUGUAAACCUCUUUUGUUUGGGAAUAAAGGAGCCUACGUGUAGGCUUUUGCAUGUACCUUUCGAAUAAGCAUCGGCUAAUUCCGUGCCAGCAGCCGCGGUAAUACGGAAGAUGCGAGCGUUAUCCGGAUUUAUUGGGUUUAAAGGGAGCGUAGGCGGCCUUUUAAGUCUGCGGUCAAAUGUCAGGGCCCAACCUUGGCAUGCCGUGGAUACUGAUGGGCUUGAAUACACGCAAGGCAAGUGGAAUUCGUCGUGUAGCGGUGAAAUGCUUAGAUAUGACGAAGAACUCCGAUUGCGAAGGCAGCUUGCUGGUGUGCGAUUGACGCUGAGGCUCGAAAGUGCGGGAAUCAAACAGGAUUAGAUACCCUGGUA